UAAAAGUCGUAACAAGGUUUCCUUGGGAUACCCGCCCGUAGUUCUAACCAUAAACGAUGCCAACCAGCGAUCCGCCUGAGUUACUCAAAUGACUCGGCGGGCAGCUUCCGGGAAACCAAAGUAUUUGGGUUCCGGGGGAAGUAUGGUUGCAAAGCUGAAACUUAAAGGAAUUGACGGAAGGGCACCACCAGGAGUGGAGCCUGCGGCUUAAUUUGACUCAACACGGGAAAACUUACCCGGCCCGGACACUGGGAGGAUUGACAGAUUGAGAGCUCUUUCUUGAUUCGGUGGAUGGUGGUGCAUGGCCGUUCUUAGUUGGUGGAGCGAUUUGUCUGGUUAAUUCCGAUAACGAACGAGACUCUAGCCUAUUAAAUAGGUGCGUGGUUCACUGCACCUUGCACCCUUCUUAGAGGGACAAGCGGCUCCUAGCCGCACGAAACAGAGCAAUAACAGGUCUGUGAUGCCCUUAGAUGUCCGGGGCCGCACGCGCGCUACACUGAAGGAAGCAGCGUGUUCUUACCCCUGUCUGUAAAGACUGGGUAACCCGUGGAACCUCCUUCGUGAUUGGGAUAGGGGCUUGCAAUUGUUCCCCUUGAACGAGGAAUUCCCAGUAAGCGCGAGUCAUAAGCUCGCGUUGAUUACGUCCCUGCCCUUUGUACACACCGCCCGUCGCUACUACCGAUUGAAUGAUUUAGUGAGGUCUUCGGACCGAUACCCGGAGCGGCCUUUCGGUUGCGCCGGUGUGUUGGAAAGAUGACCAAACUUGAUCAUUUAGAGGAAGUAAAAGUCGUAACAAGGUUUCCGUAGGUACCCCUGCGGGAAA
rnacentral:rRNA from 1 species